rnacentral:rRNA from 1 species
GCUUAGAAGCAGCCAUCAUUUAAAAAGUGCGUAACAGCUUACUGGUCGAGCAGGUCUGCGCCGAAAAUAAACGGGACUAAGGCACACACCGAAGCCACGGGUCGAUGUGAGACGCGUUCUCGCAUCGGCGGUAGAGGAGCGUUCCACACUAGGUUGAAGGUCGACCGUAAGGACGGCUGGACGACGUGGAAGUGAGAAUGCCGGCAUGAGUAACGAUAAAAAGAGCGAGAAUCUCUUUCGCCGAAAACCCAAGGUUUCCUGGGGAAGGUAAAUCCUCCCAGGGUCAGUCGGGACCUAAGGCGAGGCCGACAGGCGUAGUCGAUGGACAACGGGUUGAUAUUCCCGUACCGGCGA